UUCCACUCUUGUCCUUGCAGGU
rnacentral:piRNA from 1 species